GAAUCUCGUCGCCGCUGGCCUCGGGGUCGUCAUCACCAGGACGAAAUCAGAUCUGGGAGAUCAGCACCAGGGUCAUUGUCAGCGACGGGGGGUUUGGCAGCGCUAUCACCAACGCCAACGGUGGCUGAGGCAGGCGUUGUGUCGACGAUGGCGGUGGAGCGUGGCAGGGGCGUCGACGGCCAGCAGAGAAGACAGAUCUGAGAGAGUGAGAGUCAGAGUCAGCAGUUGUGGCGGUGGAGGCGGUAGUUGUGUCGGGUGAGAGUGAGAGAAAAAGGGAGAGGCAGA